GAUGAACGCUGGCGGCGUGCCUAACACAUGCAAGUCGAACGAAGCACUGAGAAACUGAGAUUCGUCAAGGUUUUUCUUUGACUUAGUGGCGGACGGGUGAGUAAUGCGUGAGCAACCUGCCUUUCAGAGGGGGACAACAGUUGGAAACGACUGCUAAUACCGCAUGACAUAUUUAAGCGGCAUCGCUUGAAUAUCAAAGAUUUAUCGCUGAAAGAUGGGCUCACGUCUGAUUAGUUAGUUGGUGAGGUAACGGCUCACCAAGACUGCGAUCAGUAGCCGGACUGAGAGGUUGAACGGCCACAUUGGGACUGAGAUACGGCCCAGACUCCUACGGGAGGCAGCAGUGGGGAAUAUUGGGCAAUGGGCGAAAGCCUGACCCAGCAACGCCGCGUGAAGGAAGAAGGUCUUCGGAUUGUAAACUUCUUUUAUCAGGGACGAAGGAAGUGACGGUACCUGAUGAAUAGCACGGCUAACUACGUGCCAGCAG
rnacentral:rRNA from 1 species